ACAAUUUGUAUGAACCUUCAACCCUUUUAUACUUUAGAAGAGGAAAAUCAAUUAAAGUAAUAGUUUCUCACUAAUUUGUUAAUAUUUUAGUUGUUUUAGUUAAACAAGUAGUUCUUUGAACAUAAUUGUUCUUGUUAAAUUUAUUUACUCAUUAUUAAUAUUAUUUGUGGCCAAAAAAACGUUACACUGAGAAAAAACGGGGGUGCGAUUAACUUUUUUUUCCUCAUAACUUUAACACAUUUUAGGUGUAAAAAUAUAUCAACAUUUUUUAAUGUUAAUUUUACACCUUUUUAAGCAUAAAAUUAACAUGGGAAAAGGGUAACUUUAACCCCUAAUACACCUAAAAAGCGUAAUAUUUACAUCGAUUUAGGAUCAAUACUUUAGGGUAAAAUAAACAUUUCUGGAAUGUUGUUUUAACUUUUUCUAAUUUCUCUCAGUGUAAGUUCAGUAAUUUAGAGGUAAUCUUGUAUGAAGUGAAGCUUCGGUAUCGGGAGUAUUACGCUAAGGUCCUCAAAAGCCAUUCGAAGGAAAUUGUUAUGUCCAGAAAUCUCUAUUUGAGAUGACUUCAUACAGAUUUUCGCCAAGAUUCUAUGAUAGAGAGUGGAUUCAGGAGCCUUUUUGCAACUGUUUCUUAAGUAUAAUUACUCGUAAUAUGCUUAUUUCUCAAUUUUCUAAAUCUAUUUUAAUUCAAAAAGAAAAGGCUGAUGAUCGUCGGAUAGGGAGGAAGGUUUAGACUUAGACCUAGAUCUGAAUAAACAUUCCUUUCUUACACAGUAAAAAAAAUGUCUAACAUUUUACGACUAUAAUAGUACAAAAUCGACCAUUUUAGUUGUUUAAUUUAAAAACGUUUAAAAAAUACACAAUACAUAAUUUGGUAAUGUAUUGUCACUUGAUUGAAAAUUACAACUAUUAUAGUUGAAAAAUUUUCAACAACGUUGUUUAAUUUGAAAAUGUGUAAAAUUUUAACACUAUAAUAGUGUGAAAUCGGAUAAAUUAAUUAUUUAAUUGCUAUCUGUGUAAAGUUUCUCACUAUUAUAGUCAUAAAAAAUUUUCAACAAUGUUUUGUAAUUUAAAACUGUUGAAAAAUACUAAAAAUUACCCAAAUUACCACUUUUAUAGUAUGAUUAUAGUUUUUCACAUUAUUAUAGUGUAAAAAAAAUACACAACUUUAUGGUAUUUUUUGUCACAUGAUCAAAAAUUAACACUAUUAUAGUUUGAUCAUAAUUUUUCACACUAUUAUAGUGUGAAGCCUUGUGUAUUUCAACCAAAGUUGUUGAUUUCUUAAACAAAAGUUGUUGAAUUUUUAAACAAAAGUUGUGUAAAAAUUGUUGAAUUUCUAUUUAAGACAUAUUCUUCAGCCGAGAUGCUUUUCAUUGGGAAAAAGUCAUAUAGAACAUCAAAUAUUUAUAUGCAUAAUAAGUAUAUCAUGAAGAUCCGAGCAUCAGAUGUAAUCAUUUCGCAUUAGGGGGGAUUAGAGUACAGGAAAAACCAAUAAAAAUGUCUAAAAAUGCAAAAAAAAUCAAAAUCUUCGAAUUGAAAAAAAAAUUCAACAAUAAACAGAAUUCAACAAUUUUUGGGUUUACACAUAAAAAUUCAACAAUUUUUAAAUUCAACAAUUCCAAAUUCAACAUCUUGAAAUUCAACACUUGUGUAGUAACUUAAAGCGUGUCCACGAUAAAAUUUUCCAAAUGAUUUGAUAUUUUUAUGACAAAUGUCACUAGCGCAUUUUCGUUGUGUAAACAUAUUGUAACACGUGUUUUUACCUUUCUUUUGGUGAAACUCUCAACAAAUUCUGUUCAUUUUUCACUGAGAUACGAAAUAAUAAUGGAAAAGAGAAGAGAACUGAUCAUGUACACGUAUCUAAAAAAAUCUGGAAUCAACUACGCAGACCUUGGAAAACUCACAAAUACCUUACGCCAGACCGCCCGGAGGGUGAUUUUUCGAUUCCUCGACAGUAAAACCACUGCACAGAAACCUGGAUGUAGAUAAAAUCGGGGUAUUGGAGAUCGAGAUUUGGAGAAGAAGGUGAUCAUGCGCUACAAGAACAAUCCUUCGACAUCUGUGAGGAAUAUGAGUAAAAAAAACUUAAAUGUUCUCCCAGUCUUGUGCACAAAAUCAAACAGAGGAAUGGACUGAAGACUUUUAAAAGUCUUCAGUCUGGCUUUAGUGGAUGCAUCUUGAUGGAUGAUGAAACAUAUACGUAAAAGGAGACUUCAAACAAUUAGGAAGGGUUGUUUAUAAACUUGGCAAGGGUUUUUUUUUGUGUUUACUAAAAUUAGUGUUAAUACGUUUAAAAAUAAUAAUAAUAAUAAUAAGUUUAUUUGUUCAUGCCCAGGAUACAGAAAGUAACAUGUAGGACUAUACAAUAAAUUGAUAUAUAGAGGUGAA